rnacentral:lncRNA from 1 species
CCAAAGCCAUCUUCAACACUUCGCCCAUAAAAAAGAUCAAUUCUCAUUUUCAAUUGCCUGUCUGCAGGACAAGUGAUAAUUACAAUAAGUAAAUUAUAAUCUACAUUUAUAUAAUCUAGACUACCAAACAGCUACAUAUAGUAGAUUAUAAUCUGGAUUAUAUAAUUUAGAUUAUAAUCCAACGGCCAGACUGUUCGACGAAAAUGUUAUAGUGAUUGUAGGCUUAAAUGUAGUCAUAUGCUUUUACAGAUGAUCCAAGCAAGGAGAGUUAGUUGAUCUAAGUACUGCUUGACCCAAACCUAAUGCAAAACAGUGUUUAUUUCUUACAAAUGGUGGCAGACACCAUACAAGGAUUUCUUUCUUCAAAAAAAGGAAAAAAAGGAAGGGACUUCUAUUUCAAACAGUAGAUCUUUGGUAUAUAAAACAACUUAUGAAAAAGGUUCUUCAGUGUAUGUUUCCGAUUAAUAAAUAUGAAGCCUGAACAUUUUCAUCAAAAUUGGAAAGUUAAAAACAGCACCACCACGACAUACCUUGCCAGCAACUAUUGCUCUUCCAAGAGCCUCCAGUUGCUCUUCAAUUAGAACAGAUGUGUACUAGCAGUUCGGAUCGUACUCUAUCUCCACAAACAUUGGAACAUACCUGCAAGUGGAAAAAACUAGUGGUUAGGACCUUAGGGUGUAGAGACAUGCAAUGAAAUGUGAGGUAAAAUAUAAGCUAAGUCAGAGACUGAUUAGGCCAGUGGAGGCCUGGUGCUACUAUAGUCGAUCUUGGAAUCCUAUUGAUCUUUAAAAGAGAGAUACUACAGAUACUACAAGGCACACAAGGUUCAGUGCAUAUUUAGUCUCGUAAGAAAUGAACCUGGGCUCACAAGGUUCAGUGCUCGAUUUGUACGCCCCGCUUGUUUAAAUAGUAGAGCUCUUAUUUUUUUAAGAGAAAAAAUGGAGUAAACAGAAAAAGGUAGUAAAGAAAAAUAAAAAAUGGAAAUUCGGGAACACGUCCCGCGGAAGCGGUCAGAGGAUCCAGCAAGCUCGCAGAGCAAAAUCUUGGAAACAGUUACAGCGACAGCGACAGCGGAUCGGGCACAUGCCGCGUGACAUCAGGGCGCGCCACCUGCGGAAACCGACGACGGGUGUGUACUGCCGGCGUCCCCGGACCGCCCGAUCCCGUGCGCCGGGCUGAGCGACAGCGGGUUUGCGCCCAGGGGAGCGACGGUGGCAUGCGAGUAAGAGGAGGUGGCGGCGGCAAGAAGUUAGGGUUCGGUCGAGUCUUCCUGGGCGUUGGCGGCGUCGGGUCUUCCUGGGCGCUGGCGGGUCGAGGCAGUCGGGGCGUCGGGCGUCGGGCGUCGCGUGCGCUUGAUCCUUGGCGCGGUCGUGGUAGAGAGAAGAGAGAGGGAAGAGAAGGGAUGAGAGAGAGAGGCCGGGUGGGAGAAGCAGGUGGCGGCGGCCAGAGGAAGGAGGCGCGCGCGGCUAGGUUAGGGUUAGGCGGCGG